UACGUAGGUGGCGAGCGUUGUUCGGAAUUACUGGGCGUAAAGAGCUCGUAGGCGGUUUGUCACGUCGGCUGUGAAAACUCGGGGCUCAACCCCGAGCCUGCAGUCGAUACGGGCAGACUAGAGUGCUGUAGGGGAGACUGGAAUUCCUGGUGUAGCGGUGAAAUGCGCAGAUAUCAGGAGGAACACCGGUGGCGAAGGCGGGUCUCUGGGCAGUAACUGACGCUGAGGAGCGAAAGCGUGGGGAGCAAACAGG
rnacentral:rRNA from 1 species